rnacentral:rRNA from 1 species
GAUGAACGAGGGGGGGGGGAAGAAUACAUGCAAGUCGAGCGAACGGACGAGGAGCUUGCUCCUCUGACGUUAGCGGCGGACGGGUGAGUAACACGUGGAUAACCUACCUAUAAGACUGGGAUAACUUCGGGAAACCGGAGCUAAUACCGGAUAAUAUAUUGAACCGCAUGGUUCAAUAGUGAAAGACGGUUUUGCUGUCACUUAUAGAUGGAUCCGCGCCGCAUUAGCUAGUUGGUAAGGUAACGGCUUACCAAGGCAACGAUGCGUAGCCGACCUGAGAGGGUGAUCGGCCACACUGGAACUGAGACACGGUCCAGACUCCUACGGGAGGCAGCAGUAGGGAAUCUUCCGCAAUGGGCGAAAGCCUGACGGAGCAACGCCGCGUGAGUGAUGAAGGUCUUCGGAUCGUAAAACUCUGUUAUUAGGGAAGAACAAAUGUGUAAGUAACUAUGCACGUCUUGACGGUACCUAAUCAGAAAGCCACGGCUAACUACGUG